CGAACGCUGGCGGCGUGCUUAACACAUGCAAGUCGUACGAGAAAGCUCCUUCGGGAGUGAGUAAAGUGGCGCACGGGUGAGUAACGCGUGGAUAAUCUGCCCUUGAGCGGGGGAUAACAUCUCGAAAGGGGUGCUAAUACCGCAUACGCCGGGGAGGGCGCAGGUCUUCCUCGGGAAAGUUGGCCUCUGCUUGCAAGCUAGCGCUCAAGGAGGAGUCCGCGUCCCAUUAGGUUGUUGGUGGGGUAAUGGCCUACCAAGCCCGCGAUGGGUAGCCGGCCUGAGAGGGUGGCCGGCCACACUGGCACUGAGACACGGGCCAGACUCCUACGGGAGGCAGCAGUGAGGAAUUUUGGGCAAUGGGCGCAAGCCUGACCCAGCGACGCCGCGUGGGUGAUGAAGGCCUUCGGGUCGUAAAACCCUGUGAGUUGGGAGGAAGCCUGUUAGGGUUAAUACCCCUGGCAGGUGACAGUACCAGCAGAGGAAGCCCCGGCUAACUAC
rnacentral:rRNA from 1 species